rnacentral:rRNA from 1 species
UACGAAGGGGGCUAGCGUUGCUCGGAAUCACUGGGCGUAAAGGGUGCGUAGGCGGGGUUUUAAGUCAGGGGUGAAAUCCUGGAGCUCAACUCCAGAACUGCCUUUGAUACUGAAGAUCUAGAGUUCGGGAGAGGUGAGUGGAACUGCGAGUGUAGAGGUGAAAUUCGUAGAUAUUCGCAAGAACACCAGUGGCGAAGGCGGCUCACUGGCCCGAUACUGACGCUGAGGCACGAAAGCGUGGGGAGCAAACAGG